rnacentral:rRNA from 1 species
UACGAACCGUCCAAACGUUACUCGGAAUCACUGGGCUUAAAGGGUGCGUAGGCUGCGCGGAGGGUGGGAUGUGAAAUCCCCCGGCUCAACCGGGGAAUAGCGUCCCAAACCGCCGUGCUCGAGGGAGACAGAGGUGAGCGGAACUGAUGGUGGAGCGGUGAAAUGCGUUGAUAUCAUCAGGAACACCAGUGGCGAAGGCGGCUCACUGGGUCUUUCCUAACGCUGAGGCACGAAAGCU